AACGAACGCUGGCGGCAUGCCUAACACAUGCAAGUCGAACGAAACCUUCGGGUCUUGUGGCGCUCGGGUGCGUAACGCGUGGUACCCUGCCCUUAGGUUCGGAAUAACUCCCCGAAAGGUGUGCUAAUACCGGUUAAUGUAUUCAUACCAAAGAUUUCUCGCCUUUGGAUGGGCCCGCGUUGGUUUAUCGAGUUGGUAGUGUAAAAGCCUACCAAGGCGACGAUCCAUAGCUGGUCUGUGAGGAUGAUCAGCCACACUGGGACUGGGACACGGACGAGACUCCUACGGGAGGCAGCAGUGGGGAAUAUGGGACGAUGGGCGAGAGCCUGAUCCAGCAAUGCCGCGUGAGUGAUGAAGGCGUUAGGGUUGUAAAGCUCUUUUACACGGGAUGAUAAUGACAGUACCGGGAGAAUAAGCGACGGCUAACUCCGUG
rnacentral:rRNA from 1 species